GUUGGAGGCUUUGAAGAGUGGACGCCAGUCUGCAUGGAGCCAACCUUGAAAUACCACCCUUUAACGUUUGAUGUUCUAACCUAGGACCAUAAACUGGGUCGGGGACCGUGUCUGGUGGGUAGUUUGACUGGGGCGGUCUCCUCCUAAAGAGUAACGGAGGAGAACGAAGGUUGGCUAAGCAUGGUCGGACAUCAUGCGGUUAGUGCAAAGGCAUAAGCCAGCUUGACU
rnacentral:rRNA from 1 species